GUUGUCGAAUAAAGGGCUGAUUUUGGCCGAAGUUUCUCUGCUGUGUUGUUCCCUCUGGGAGUACCAGACUGUGGAAGUCACCUUCGCAGUCGGAUUUUGGGUUCAUUUUCUGAGGACUUGCUGCUAGCUGUGACAGGACAGCCUCAACCACUUACCUUCAACUUUAGGUGUGUUGUGCCUGAGAUUGUGGUGGAUACUCCAGUGCUGGACUCCUCAAUUACCCCUAUAAACAGAAAGUGCGGUUGACCAACUCUAGCAAUUUGCCUGCCUGCUACGGCAUGCUUGAUCAGGAAAAUGAGGAGAAUCCAUCACUGCUUUUAAGCAGUUCUGCACCUAGACGAGUGAUUCAUCCCGGCAGCUCAGAGAAGCUUUCUGUGUGUCUCCCUGCUAAGACUGUUGGAAAGCGCCGCAGCACUCUAUGAAUUGCUGUGUUCAGCAGCCUCCAGCCAUACCUGGAGGUGGCCUUGUCAUGUAUUGGACAGGGACCAGUAGUUCACAUCCAAAGCCCACAGCUGAGCUUUGGCAAAAUCCCAGUUCUGAAGAGCAUUGCCAAAACCCUGCACCUGUACCCAGUCACCUAUUCCAGCUCACUUUACUACUACCAUGAUACAGACACUAGAAUUUGUGGCAUAGGUGGGCAGGCAUAUACUAAAAAUUGAUUUAGAAAUUCUUAUACACUUUAAAACAAAACAACACAACUUUAUAUGAGCUUACGUCUCAUAGUGGGAUGCUAAAGCAUUUGGAAGCAUACAGUAAACAUCUGGGGAAAAAAAGCAGCGUUAUCCAGGUUUAAGAGUGGAUUUACUACAUAUCUCUCAAGUCAUCUAUCAGUUCACGUACUGGCUUUCUGUCUUCCUUAGCUCCUGUGACUAAUUCAUUUUCAGUCCAAUUGGAUAUGUAAUUAAUGAGCUGAUGAUUUAAUUGCUUUGUUAGCUUUUGAAAUAAUUAGCUGCCACUUCAAUUUUAGUCCUACCACAGGAGAAUAUAUUAUAAACAUUAUAUAUACAUUACAAUCCAGUCAAAUGGUGACAUAUUUUGUCAGUGUAGAACAAUUUUAACGAUCAACUCACAGAGCCUCGCUUUUGGAUAUUGUAACAUUUAUGCACAAAUAGUAGAUUAACCCAUGCUGUAUAACAGACUUCCACUUCUAUCUCUCACUCUUCAAAUGAUACUUCAGUGUUAUCAGCUGUUACCUACAUAUUAAGACAUUUUCCACAUUAACUACGUUUGAUUUUUCUAGGUCUUAAAAGCCUUUUAAAUUAAAAUGGUUAUGUUCCACUUGUAUGCAUUUAUAGUGCUUACUCAUGGUAAAUGAAACACUAAACUUUCUGGCAACCAGAGAGCCACAGUUUAUCAUAUUUAGUGUUUCACUUUUCUCUGAAAGCUCUUCCCUCCCUACGUACUGUCAUAUCAGCGUUGCCUGAUAUCCACGAGGAGCCAACUUGUGACUGGAACUGUACCUCAAUACUUCCAAAGCUGACAUAGACACAACCAUCCACAUGCACAAUUUUAAACACACACAGGCAAACCCCUGUGUAACUGCAGUUUUAUGACCCUGUCCUCUCCUCUAAGGCAGUGUUGGGGAAAGGAGUUUCUCCUCUGCACUCUCAGGCGUCAAUCGAUGCAGAUUCUCCUAGAAUUACAUUACGUCUCGCUCAAUAGGCUGGCAAAGAACCACACAAAUAGACCUGAUGACAGAAGAUCACGGGGAUAUUGCAUAAGGUACCCAGUCUGUCUUGUCAUGUAAGUGACCAUCCGUGGGAACGACUUCAUUCCUCAUCCAUCCUGGACUUCUGUUAUCUUAUAUGGUGUCGAACCAUUCAGACAGGCAGUGAAGAAUUGUGUGAGCACUGCAGGCUGCACAUGAACACAUUUGCUUUCCUGGAGAAUCCCUUACAUAAGCAGACUUUUAUUCAUGUUUUUUAAAUUCUCCUGUCAGUGAUACAUAAG